rnacentral:rRNA from 1 species
UACGGAGGAUCCGAGCGUUAUCCGGAUUUAUUGGGUUUAAAGGGAGCGUAGGCGGGUUGUUAAGUCAGUUGUGAAAGUUUGCGGCUCAACCGUAAAAUUGCAGUUGAUACUGGCGACCUUGAGUGCAACAGAGGUAGGCGGAAUUCGUGGUGUAGCGGUGAAAUGCGUAGAUAUUAGGAGGAACACCAGUGGCGAAGGCGGAUUGCUUGACGACAACUGACGGUGAGGCGCGAAAGCGUGGGGAGCGAACAGG